rnacentral:rRNA from 1 species
ACCAGACUCCUACGGGAGGCAGCAGUGGGGGAUAUUGCACAAUGGGGGAAACCCUGAUGCAGCGACGCCGCGUGAGUGAAGAAGUAUUUCGGUAUGUAAAGCUCUCUCAGCAGGGAAGAAGAAAGACGGUACCUGAGUAAGAAGCCCCGGCUAACUACGUGCCAGCAGCCGCGGUAAUACGUAGGGGGCAAGCGUUAUCCGGAUUUACUGGGUGUAAAGGGAGCGUAGACGGUAUGGCAAGUCUGAAGUGAAAGCCCCGGGCUCAACCUGGGAACUGCUUUGGAAACUGUUAAACUAGAGUGCUGGAGAGGCAGGCGGAAUUCCUAGUGUAGCGGUGAAAUGCGUAGAUAUUAGGAGGAACACCAGUGGCGAAGGCGGCCUGCUGGACAGUAACUGACGUUGAGGCUCGAAAGCGUGGGGAGCAAACAGGAUUAGAUACCCUUGUAUG